rnacentral:rRNA from 1 species
AGAGUUUGAUCAUGGCUCAGAACGUACGCUGGCGGCACGCCUAACACAUGCAAGUCGAACGAAGUAGCAAUACUUAGUGGCAGACGGGUGAGUAACAUGUAGGUAUCUGCCCUUUGGCCUGGAAUAACACGAGGAAACUUGUGCUAAUACCGGAUAAGUCUUUACGGAGAAAGCUUUAUGCACCAUUGGAUGAGCCUGCACUUGAUUAGUUUGUUGGUGGGGUAAUGGCCUACCAAGACUGUGAUCAAUAGCUGAUUUGAGAGGAUGAUCAGCCACAUUGGGACUGAGACACGGCCCAAACUCCUACGGGAGGCAGCAGUGGGGAAUCUUGCACAAUGGAGGAAACUCUGAUGCAGCGAUGCCGCGUGAGUGAAGAAGGCCUUUGGGUUGUAAAGCUCUUUCGUCGGGGAAGAAAAUGACUGUACCCGAAUAAGAAGGUCCGGCUAACUUCGUGCCAGCAGCCGCGGUAAUACGAAGGGACCUAGCGUAGUUCGGAAUUACUGGGCUUAAAGAGUUCGUAGGUGGUUGAAAAAGUUAGUGGUGAAAUCCCAGAGCUUAACUCUGGAACUGCCAUUAAAACUUUUCAGCUAGAGUAUGAUAGAGGAAAGCAGAAUUUCUAGUGUAGAGGUGAAAUUCGUAGAUAUUAGAAAGAAUACCAAUUGCGAAGGCAGCUUUCUGGAUCAUUACUGACACUGAGGAACGAAAGCAUGGGUAGCGAAGAGGAUUAGAUACCCUCGUAGUCCAUGCCGUAAACGAUGUGUGUUAGACGUUGGAAAUUUAUUUUCAGUGUCGCAGCGAAAGCGAUAAACACACCGCCUGGGGAGUACGACCGCAAGGUUAAAACUCAAAUGAAUUGACGGGGACCCGCACAAGUAGUGGAGCAUGUGGUUUAAUUCGAAGAUACGCGCAGAACCUUACCAACACUUGACAUGUUCGUCGCGACUUUAAGAGAUUAAAGUUUUCGGUUCGGCCGGACGAAACACAGGUGCUGCAUGGCUGUCGUCAGCUCGUGUCGUGAGAUGUUGGGUUAAGUCCCGCAACGAGCGCAACCCUCACUUUUAGUUGCCAUCAUUAAGUUGGGCACUCUGAAAGAACUGCCAGUGAUAAGCUGGAGGAAGGUGGGGAUGACGUCAAGUCCUCAUGGCCCUUACGUGUUGGGCUACACACGUGCUACAAUGGUAUCUACAACAGGAAGCAAGACUGCGAGGUCAAGCAAAUCCUUAAAAGAUACCUCAGUUCGGAUUGCACUCUGCAACUCGAGUGCAUGAAGCUGGAAUUACUAGUAAUCGUGGAUCAGCGUGCCACGGUGAAUGCGUUCCCGGGUCUUGUACACACCGCCCGUCACACCAUGGGAGUUGGUUCUACCUUAAGGCAAGGUUUUAAACCCUUGACCACGGUAUAGUCAGCGACUGGGGUGAAGUCGUAACAAGGUAA